AUAGCAGAAUGGUUUGUCGCCUCGUUUUUUACGGGGAGGAAAGUCAGGGCAACGCAGAGCAACAUACUUCUUAACGGGAAGUCGGCUGUGAAGUCGAAUUAGCGUAACAGAAAACAACCGCCCGCAAGGGUAAGGGUGAAAAGGCAAGGGUAAGAGCCUACCGACAAUUUGGCGACAAGUUGUGCCGUACGCAUUAUGUGUUGAAAGUUCAAGUAAAUCAACGUUUGAGGGCUGCUCGUUCGAUGUUGAAGGGUGGAACGAUAGAGGCAAGGCGCAAGUUUUGUCCAAGACAAAUGGCAAACAUUCUUUUUUAGAAUACAGAAUCCUGCUUAUAAUUCUGCUAUUUUU
rnacentral:RNase_P_RNA from 1 species